UACGUAGGGGGCUAGCGUUGUCUGGAAUCAUUGGGCGUAAAGCGCGUGUAGGCGGCCCGGUAAGUCCGCUGUGAAAGUCGGGGGCUCAACCCUCGAAAGCCGGUGGAUACUGUCGGGCUCGAGUGCGGAAGAGGCGAGUGGAAUUCCUGGUGUAGCGGUGAAAUGCGCAGAUAUCAGGAGGAACACCGAUUGCGAAGGCAGCUCGCUGGGACGUUACUGACGCUGAGACGCGAAAGCGUGGGGAGCAAACAGG
rnacentral:rRNA from 1 species